rnacentral:rRNA from 1 species
CCUACGGGAGGCAGCAGUGAGGAAUAUUGGUCAAUGGACGCAAGUCUGAACCAGCCAUGCCGCGUGCAGGAAGACGGCUCUAUGAGUUGUAAACUGCUUUUGUACGAGGGUAAACGCAGAUACGCGUAUCUGUCUGAAAGUAUCGUACGAAUAAGGCUCGGCUAACUCCGUUCCAGCAGCCGCGGUAAUACGGAGGAUUCAAGCGUUAUCCGGAUUUAUUGGGUUUAAAGGGUGCGUAGGCGGUCGGAUAAGUUAGAGGUGAAAUCCCGGGGCUCAACUUCGGAAUUGCCUCUGAUACUGUGCGGCUAGAGAGUAGUUGCGGUAGGCGGAAUGUAUGGUGUAGCGGUGAAAUGCUUAGAGAUCAUACAGAACACCGAUGGCGAAGGCAGCUUACCAAGCUACUUCUGACGUUGAGGCACGAAAGCGUGGGGAGCAAACAGGAUUAGAUACCCUUGUAGUC